AUAAACCUAUACGCUUCUACAUUAUACUAACUUAAUUUGAUUACAAUGUCUUCAUCUUCUUCUUCCACCCCAUCUGACUCAUCGUCAUCGCACCAGCCAACCUUCCAUUGAAGCCAAUCCCAGGUGACUAUGGCUUACCCUUCUUUGGUGCCAUCAAAGAUCGUUACAACUAUUUCUACAACCAAGGAAAAGAUGACUUCUUCAAAACCCGAAUCCAAAAGUACAACUCCACUGUCUUCCGUACCAACAUGCCUCCCGGCUCCUUCAUCGCUUCCAACCCUAGAGUCAUUACCGUCCUCGACGCUGUGAGCUUCCCCAUUCUCUUUGACAACUCCAAAGUCGAAAAACGCAACGUUUUGGACGGUACCUACAUGCCCUCCACAUCCUUCACCGGCGGCUACCGCGUCUGCGCCUAUCUCGAUCCCUCGGAACCAAACCACGCUACUCUAAAGCGCUUCUUCUUAUCUCUACUCGCCAGUCGCCACCACAAGUUCAUCCCACUCUUCCAAACUCACCUCUCCGACCUCUUUCUCAAUCUCGAAGCUCAAAUUUCCAAAAAUGGCAAAGCAGACUUCAACACCCCGAGCGAUGACAUGUCGUUUAAGUUCGUCUUCUCGCUGUUCUGCGGGUCGGAAAAUACUUCAUUGGGUUCCAAAGGGCCGAACUUGGUGGCUGCAUGGCUCGCACCGCAACUGGCUCCGCAGAUCACACUCGGGUCGCCAAAGUUGCUGAGCUUUGCUGAAGAUUUCUUACUGCACACGUUUCCCUACCCUACCUUUCUCGUCAAAUCAACCUACAAGAAGCUCUACGAUGCGUUUCACGAGUCGUCGUCUUCGGUUUUGGAGGACGCCGAGAACAAAUUUGGGAUUCCGAGAGACGAAGCUUGCCACAAUCUUGUGUUUUUGGCUUGCUUCAAUGCUUUUGGUGGCAUGAAGCUUUUGUUCCCUACUUUGAUCAAGUGGGUUGGAUCUGCAGGAGAGGACUUGCACCGCCGGCUCCGAGAUGAAAUCAGGGACGUGGUUAAGGAAAGCAACGGGAAUGUAACUUUCUCGGCGUUGGAGAAGAUGACUCUGACCAAGUCCGUGGUUUAUGAAGCUAUGAGGAUCGAGCCUCCGGUGCCGUUCCAGUACGGGAAGGCCAAGGAGGAUAUAGUGAUCCAUAGCCAUGAUGCAGCAUUUGAGAUCAAGAAGGGGGAAAUGAUCUUUGGAUAUCAACCAUUUGCCACAAAGGAUCCGAAGAUCUUUAAGAAUCCAGAGGACUUUGUAGGGGACAGGUUUUUAGGAGAGGGUGAGAAAUUGUUGAAGUAUGUUUAUUGGUCGAAUGGUCGUGAGACGGAUGAUACUACGGUGGAGAACAAGCAGUGCGCCGGGAAGGACUUGGUGUUACUCUUGUCUAGGUUAAUGUUGGUUGAGUUUUUCCUUCGGUAUGACACUUGUGCUGUUGAUGUGACUACGAUUUCGUUGGGUACAUCAGUGAAGUUCAAAUCACUGACCAAAGCCUCUUGAAUGGUCGAUGAG